ensembl:lncRNA
UAGAGGUGUGGUCAUUUUAAGCUUUUCUUGGUUGGUCACGCAUGCCCAAGUUCAAUACCCUCCUCAAGUUUAUGAUGCACACAUUUUUAACCAUGGGGGCAUUUACACACACACACACACACACACACACACACACACACACACACACACACACACACACACACACACACUUACACGUGAAGAUGUUUUACAAAGCUGGAACACAGAGACCCACCCAUCCCUUUCUACAGUAAAACACUAUCAUUUGAUUAUGUACUGCAAGAACAGACAUGGAUAAUAGAUGGCCAGAGUUAAAGCCACACUAAAGCUGAUGCAUGAAGCCAUUUGGGCCACAGCUCCCCACUGACUCUGGGUCAGCGUCCGCCAGCAUAUUCCUGAGUAAAGGCUUUUUAAAGAAGGCAGAAGGGUUGCAGCUACAGCCACACUAAAUAUAUACAUUUUUCAUUAAACUAAGCUCUUGCAUGGUUCUAAGCAGGCUCUUACAUGGUUCUAAGCAGGUUCUUACGUGGUUCUAAGCAGGCCCUUACAUGGUUCUAAGCAGACUCUUACGUGGUUCUAAGCAGGCUCUUACAUGGUUCUAAGCAGGUAGACAGAGACUGUUUUGGGUCGCUGGCAUUUUAUCAAGCAGAAUCAUGAUUGAUUUGAGCAGGUUGUUUACCUAAUGGAGCCAGAAAUGUAAUUAGGCAUGUGUGUGGUAAUUGGACAUUAACCUUUUUAUGCAGCAUAGCAUAGAUGUUGUUUUUAUAAACAGAAAGCAGGUGCAAAGGCUCAGUGGAGAGUUAAAAGGAAUUUAUGGUUGCCGUUGUCAUCUUUGUGCAUAGCCCCAAAAGUGACAUCAUUACUGCUGGCACGUGGUGUGCUUUGGUGUCGUUUCAGCUGGUCGCGCACGUCCCAAUUUUUGUAAUUUGGCGCGCGGGGCGCAGCUGGCGAAUAUGCAAAACGGACGAGCUAGAGGUACGGGUCUGUGAGCAGGUCCGUCUUUACAGGCAUCUCCAAUGCAUGAGCAUAAGGAUUCCCAGAUGGCACAGAACUCGUGGAGGGAGAUUGCUGCGACAGUUGGAAAGGAUGAGACGUUUGUGUGGUUUACUAACGUUACUGUCUUGCCUGAUGAAGCAUUUAAUCUAUGCUCACACGUAAUAUCUUUUCCUGAUGAAAAAAAAAAACAAAAAAAACACUGUUCUAUAAUGUAGUUGAGAGGGUUUUUGUUACUGUAACAACUUAGUUCCUGUACAGGCUAGUUUAGCUAGCGACUAGCAAUAAACACAAACACUAACCAGAAACUUUUAGAGCCUGACCAGUUUAAUCCAUAAAUGAAUACUGGUGAUCCAGUUUAACUGUCUUGUCAUUUCACUGUUCUCUACUCAGCACAUUACCUCUUAGCAUUGCUGCUACCAGCGCUUAAUCCACAAAUACUAGAGAUACAGUUUAACUGUCAUGUACAUUUCACUGAGCUCUUAUUCGACACGUUACCCUCCAGCGGUUUAAAUGGAAUUUUUCUCGGCAGCAACACCUAUCAGGUAGGAGAAGAGCACAGAGAGUCAAACACGCCUCUAGCUAGAGAAUAAAAGCUAAUGCCGCUGUGUUGACGUCACAGUGCGCUGAUUCCUCAGGGGGCUUACAUUUAAGGAUCUUAUAACACUCCAGCUGCACACUGUGCUUCUGUGGUGGGUCUAGCAGUUCACUAGCUGCCUCUUAGCCCA